GGCAUCGUGGCGGAGUGGUUAACGCGACAGAUUCGAAUUGAAUAGCUUAUCUGUUCCAUUUUAUGGGCGCAUGUUCGAGUCAUGCCGAUGUCG